rnacentral:rRNA from 1 species
GUUCAGAACGUCGAGAGACAGUUCGGUCCCUAUCCGGCGCGGGCGCAGGAUAUCUGAGAGGAGCUGUCCUCAGUACGAGAGGACCGGGAUGGACCGGCCGCUGGUGUACCUGCUGUUCCGCCAGGAGCACGGCAGGGUAGCCAAGCCGGGAAGGGAUAAACGCUGAAGGCAUCUAAGCGUGAAGCCCCCCUCAAGAUGAGAUAUCCCAGCCGCAAGGCUGUAAGACCCCUUGAAGACGACGAGGUGGAUAGGACAGGGGUGGAAGUGUGGCAACACAUGGAGCUGACUGUUACUAAUAGGUCGAGGGCAUAACCUG